ACCCUUUAAUGUUUGAUGUUCUAACGUGGACCCGUGAUCCGGGUUGCGGACAGUGUCUGGUGGGUAGUUUGACUGGGGCGGUCUCCUCCUAAAGAGUAACGGAGGAGCACGAAGGUUGGCUAAUCCUGGUCGGACAUCAGGAGGUUAGUGCAAUGGCAUAAGCCAGCUUGACUGCGAGCGUGACGGCGCGAGCAGGUGCGAAAGCAGGUCAUAGUGAUCCGGUGGUUCUGAAUGGAAGGGCCAUCGCUCAACGGAUAAAAGGUACUCCGGGGAUAACAGGCUGAUACCGCCCAAGAGUUCAUAUCGACGGCGGUGUUUGGCACCUCGAUGUCGGCUCAUCACAUCCUGGGGCUGAAGUAGGUCCCAAGGGUAUGGCUGUUCGCCAUUUAAAGUGGUACGCGAGCUGGGUUUAGAACGUCGUGAGACAGUUCGGUCCCUAUCUGCCGUGGGCGCUGGAGAACUGAGGGGGGCUGCUCCUAGUACGAGAGGACCGGAGUGGACGCAUCACUGGUGUUCGGGUUGUCAUGCCAAUGGCACUGCCCGGUAGCUAAAUGCGGAAGAGAUAAGUGCUGAAAGCAUCUAAGCACGAAACUUGCCCCGAGAUGAGUUCUCCCUGAGACUUUAGGUCUCCUGAAGGAACGUUGAAGACGACGACGUUGAUAGGCCGGGUGUGUAAGCGCAGCGAUGCGUUGAGCUAACCGGUACUAAUGAACCGUGAGGCUUAACCUUACA
rnacentral:rRNA from 4 species